UAUUGCACAAUGGGCGCAAGCCUGAUGCAGCCAUGCCGCGUGUAUGAAGAAGGCCUUCGGGUUGUAAAGUACUUUCAGUUGUGAGGAAGGGUGUGUAGUUAAUAGCUGCACAUCUUGACGUUAGCAACAGAAGAAGCACCGGCUAACUCCGUGCCAGCAGCCGCGGUAAUACGGAGGGUGCGAGCGUUAAUCGGAAUUACUGGGCGUAAAGCGCAUGCAGGUGGUUCAUUAAGUCAGAUGUGAAAGCCCGGGGCUCAACCUCGGAACUGCAUUUGAAACUGGUGAACUAGAGUACUGUAGAGGGGGGUAGAAUUUCAGGUGUAGCGGUGAAAUGCGUAGAGAUCUGAAGGAACACCAGUGGCGAAGGCGGCCCCCUGGACAGAUACUGACACUCAGAGCGAAG
rnacentral:rRNA from 1 species